GGAUUUAUCCGUCGGUCGGGCUUUUGGGUCUGUACUGGCGUGAUGGAUUCCUACCUUCUGAAUAACCGGCAUGCCAUUUAUUUGGUGUGAUGGGAAAUCAGGACUGUUACUUUGAAAAAAUUAGAGUGUUUAAAGCAGACUAUCGUCUGAAUACAUUAGCAUGGAAUAAUGAAAUAGGACGGACUGAUUCUAUUUCGUUGGUUUCUAGGAUCACCGUA
rnacentral:rRNA from 1 species